AUUGAACGCUGGCGGCAUGCCUAACACAUGCAAGUCGAACGAGUGGCGGACUGGUGAGUAAGUUCUUGGAAACUGCCUGAUGGACGGGGCUAACUUCUGGAAACGGUAGCUACUACCGCAUACCAUCGGAUGUGCCCAGAUGGGAUUAGCUAGUAGGGUGGGUAAAGGCUCACCUAGGCGACGAUCCCUAGCUGGUCUGAGAGGCUGACCGGCCACCCUGGAACUGAGACACGGGCCAGACUCCGACGGGAGGCAGCAGUAGGGAAGCUUGGGCAAUGGACGCAAGUCUGACGGAGGCAUGCCGCGUGUAUGAAGAAGGCUUUCGGGUUGUAAAGUACUUUCGGCAGGGAGGCGGUACCCACACAAGAAGCACCGGCUAACUCCGUGCCAGCAGCCGCGGUAAUUC
rnacentral:rRNA from 1 species